AUUUAUAUACAUUGAUGAGAUCCCCUCUGAGCCUUCUCUGCUUCAGGCUGAAAGGUCCCAGAUCUUGGAGACUUUCCUCAGGAGGGAUGCUCCAGUCCCUCCAUCACCUUGGCAGCCCUUUGUUAGACUGUCUCCGGAAGAGAGGGGAGCUGAAUAUAUAUUCAUGAUCUCCAAACCAGUGAAGAGUUGAUGAUAGAAGCAUUGCCUAUAUAGAUCUGAAGGACAUGGAAUGGGGUAAAAGGAAUAGAAGAUGCUAUCACUGCAGUGGAGAAGAUCUGACAGAGAAUGAAAGUGGGCACCGUUUUA